CCUUCCUUCCUUCUUUCCUUUUUGAGAGAAGGUCUCUCUGUAUGGCCCAGGCUGGCCUUGAACCUGUGAACCUCUUGACUCUUACCGAGUGCCGAGAUUGCUUAUGUGCACCACUGUGCCUGGCUUCCAUGAUCUCUAGAGACCCUUCCUAAAGAUUUUUUCUAUAUUACUACUAGCGACCAUGGGGACUUCCCUGGUCGGGGCAGCUGCUGGGGACUGGGGAGAUGUACAGAGGCUGUACAGAACUGGCCCUGCUCCUCACCGGCUACUGGGCUUUGGAGAGCUGGCCCCACCUCUUACCAUGGGCAACCCUGGGAAGAGUGAGCCCUGUGCUUUGCCUGAACAGUGCAGCAGAGUUGACCCUGGUGGUCGGGGUGCAGGGGAACCAGCACCAAGGGUGAGAGCAUGGAAGAGCUGGUCUGACCACUCCUCUGCCACAAGAUGGUGUGGGAUAGGGCAAUGCCCUUCCUUGCUUCCUCCCUUGCUACUUGGGGCAGUUGGGAGAGCUGGCCCUGGGAUCAUGAGAUCAAGUGAGCUGGCCCUACCUUUUUACUAGCUGCAGCACUCAGGAGAGUAAGCCUGUGUCCUUCUCACCUAGUAUGCUGACCCUGGUAGAGAGAGCAUGGGUGAACUGGCUUGAGCUAGCCUUUUUUCCUGCCAAUGAUGGCAUUGGGUAGCCUACCCAGAGCAGUACUGGAGAACUCACCUUGGUGGUGUGGAUAAGGAAAAGGUGACAGGCUGACCAGUUUAGUUACCACCCAGACCCAGAUCCAGAAUUCAGAGUUGGCCUGUCCCCAAAUCUAUGUUAUAUGUGAGCGGUUGGGCCAGUCCUGCUGACCCAAAACUGCAGGAUCUCCAUGACACAGGGCAACAGCAAGAUGAUGGGGAAGAGUCCCCAUGCUGGUCCAAUAUUGAUGGUGUUAUGGAAACCAAAGACCUUGAGAGGAUGGGGAGAUGAGGAGGACUGGGGUGCAUGAUGUGAAACUAACAAAAAAUCAAAAAGUUUUAAAAAACAAAAUAUAAAAAUGAAAGAUACAAGACUUCCAAACUGACAUUCACGGCCAUCAUCACCAUCACCACCACCAUCAUCACCAUCAUCAUCAUCUCUAUUGAUGUCAUUGGAUAUCAUGAUAAUCAUCACCACCAUCAUCAUCACGAUCACUAUCCUCUCCAUUGAUGUCAUUGUCAUCAUCAUUUGGUAAUUUCAGAAUCAUAGAAUCAUACAUCUCCCACAUGAGAGUCUUCUAGUGUGGGUGAUUCAUCUCAUGGGAAUCUGGCGUCAGUUCAGAAGAGACUACUUCUGGGUAUUUAGCAGCCAAGGCUAUGAUUUCAACAGCUGAAAACGGCGUGCCCACUAUAAUACAAUAUGUCAAAGCGAUCGUAAGUUUUAUAACAAUAAUAAUGUUAACUGUUAUAUCAUUUGACUGUGAAUUUCGCCUAGUAAUCUGGUCAGCACACAAAGUGAAUUGACACCACAUGCUGCAAAGAAAAUAAUCUACAAGGACCUUUCGGUAACCUGUCAGUCACUCUCCCAAUGGGCACGUUCAAAGCAGCUAAGGAUGUCUGUAGAGUGCUUCUUCAGAGAGCCCUUACAGAAGCUAGUCUGCUUUUGAUGGAUGAACACUUUCCCCAGGGCCAUGGAGUGACUAAUGCUUGGCCUAACAUCUGGUCCUCUUCGCAGCCAGUUUUCUUUUCUACAUAAAGAACCAACUCCUUCAUCCCACUCUGGAUUCCUUUCCAAGUUGCUGUGGGUCUCAUGGCCCUCACUGGCUGGUUUAGAUGAAUCAUCCAGCACUGAAGAGCUGUCACACACCCCUACUUAAGAGGAGAUCCCUGUAGAAUCUGCCUUCUCAGAAUCCUCUCUUUUUUAUGUUCGUUUUGCCUAAUCAAAGGGUCAGAAUUUUGCUUGUGCCUAUUCAUGAUGAUCUCCGAAACUUUAUCAGGACUUUAUCAGGAGGUUCAUAGAAAUGGCCUUUUAAUACAUUUAUUUUCUAAUAGAGAUAUGGAUAGAAUUUAAAAGUCAAAUUCAUUUGCUAGUGUCAAUAAUAGAGCCAGCCCAACUCUGGAACUCAACUUUUUACUCUUGCUUCCUGGUCCUCAAGGUAAACACUGUCUAGUCUUUCAAAUAUGUCUUCUAUCUCUUGGAAAAUAUAUUUUAUGUUCCUGUUUUCAAAUGUUCAGUUUCCUAUACUGUGUAUUGACUCUCCCUUCUGAAAUACAAUUUCUUAGCUCCUGACUUUGCACUCACUCUAAGGUACUCAUGUACACAACUCAUCCUGUCAUCCCUCAGGGCUGUCUAUCAGAUACCUGUUACUGCACACAAGUUACUGCAGAAGCUAGCGCCAUGAAGGAACAAACAUUUACUCUUGUCCUAUUGAUGUGGGACGGGGACAUGGAUCAUUUAACUGAGCAGUCCUGGUUCAGACUCCUCCAUGAACUUGAAGACGCCUGAGGAUUCUUAGUGCGUCUGCGAGCCCCUUUGACUUGUAAGGGACAUCCACAGGUUCCCAUCACUCUCCCCACUAUGACUGUGGGCUCAUCAGUCAUGUUCUGCAACAUGUGUCAGAGCCAAUCAAAAUCACGGCUCCUUUCUCUGCAGCUUUUCUAUUCUCUUUGGUGCUAAACUUGUGUCUCUUUCCCCAUGUGCUUACUUUUAGGGUUCUGAUCAUCAGUCCUUCCGUGAGCUGUGAACAAAGCCGGCAUUCGUCCCUAACCGUACCAGCUCCAUCCUCUCCCUAGCUAUAGUCCUCGAGUCUCUCUUCUUCCUGUUUGGAUUCGUCUCCAUGGGCUUACAGCACAGACACUGUCUUGGGAUUUUCCACCAUUCUUAUCCAAAGGUUUCAUUUUCCUAACACUUGCUUUUUACAUUUUGAUUUCUUUUUCCGUUAAUAGGUAUCGACUGCAUGUAUUAGUGGGGCCUGAUGUGAUGUUCAGCUCAUGCAUACAGCAUGUCUGUACCAGCUUGUCUCCUCAUCCCACUUUCCCUUCCGCCCACCCUAGCACUCUGGAAGUCACGAUUCAACUUUGACACUUUUAAAGUUUCCACAAACGAGAGCAUCCACAGGGUGGUAUGGUAUGCCCAUUGUGUGACAGGAAUCCAUUCGUCUUUAUGGCUAUGUAACAUUCAAUUACACACACACACACACACACACACACACACACACACACACACACACCACCUUCCUUCACCGAUUCCUGGGCAGUCAAGUUGACUCCAUAGCUUAGAUAACUGUAAAAAGGCACUUCGGUAAAUUACACAGGCACCGGCAUGCAGGUACCUGGUGUGUAGAUUUGUUUCCUCUGCACAUAUAGCCUGAAGUGAGGUAGUUGGAUCACAGGAUUUUCCACAGUGGCUGAACCAACUUACAUUUUUCUGCCAGCAGUGUUUGAGAGUUCUGUAUCUUCACCAGCAUUUACCCUUCUAACCUUUUGCCAAUAACCACUUUACCGGGAAUGAGAUGGUACCUCACCAUCGUUUUGACUUUCAUUUCUCUGAAAUUUAAAAUUGGAUAUUUAAAAAUACCACUGUUGGUCAUUCUGCAUUUCUUUAUUUGAAAAAUAAAUGUCUGUUGGGAUCCUGUGGCCAUUUUUAGAUGCAAAUUCUUUGUGGGUUUCGUUAUCUCUUGUUGCCGUUGUUACUAAGUUCUCUGAGCAUCCUCUAGACUCUGGAUAUAAAUCCUUUGGCGGGUGAACAGCGGGCGACUCCCUGGUUCUGGACCACAGGGCGUGGAUGCUCGUAGAGCUGCUUCAGUGGCCUUUCUGCCAAGUUGACUUUCGUUGGUGGGGAACAUGGAAAUUGGAGGGAGAGGAGAUGAUGUAGGGGUAUCUUUUCUCCAGAUUGGUCCUCGCUGGGUGGACACGCCCCCUGUUUCUGACGUCAGGACUCAGCUUCCCACUCUUCCAUCCUCCGGCUACUCCCACGGUCCACGAGCAGGUUCCUUGCGCUUCCGUUACUGGCUUCUUUGGGGCUGGUGAGGUAGGAUACCUGUGUCCAACAGGAUACACAGAGCAGGUUUCUUACCUGCCAGUAGGCAGCAAGGGACAAGAUAAAUCUAGAAUUCAUUGCUAGCCGGUUCUCCAAGGCUCGGGGGCUGUCUGAGGUAGCUAGCAUAGUCAUUGGUCCUAAAGGACCCCAGCAAGGCCUAUCCUGGGAAUUUUCUACCCAACAUAACCUUCCAUUUUGCAGUAAGAGGUUCAUUCUGCCCAAGCUGCCAUGAGGUAAACAGCUUCCUCCGACACACUCUCCACUGUGAUUCUCGAGUGACUCUUACGGCAGAAAGCACUUUGCUGAGGAUAAUUGACUGUGUUCCAGGACUACCUGUAAAACAGAAACAUUGUAACAGAAGAGAACACUGCCCGGUGCUGGGAAUGCUGUCCCGGACAGAGUUCAGCUUCUACUAUUGCAGCUCAAGUAGUCUGACCAUUUGGUAAGAGCAUUUGGGGAGGUGGGUGUCUUCAUGAAGAUCGGAAAGUUCAGCCUUAUUGACUAGAUGUCCGUCUCCGUCCAUUUCCUGUGACAGUGAUGGUCCAGGGGACAAACCAGAUAAAUUAAGUCUACUGGCGACCGACCUCCAGGCUGUAUCCAGCUAGUAGCUUCAUUAUUGUUUGCCUCCUAGGCCUUGUGAUUCUUUUUCUAAGCUAGAGCCACAGACGGUUUAAUGGGCUUUGCAGAGGUCUGUCCUCACCCCCGAAAAGCUGUUGUGGGAUGACCCUAGCAAGCAGCAGAUAGCCUGGAGACUGCCAUCUGGGAGAAAGAGCUAGUGAGCAGCAGAGACUUAACUCCCUUCUGAAGAAAUAAUCGAGAGUAUUCUCCCUGUAGAAAAGCACAGUAACGGAGUCCUAGUCAAACUCACAAGGUUCUCCAUGGGCAGCAGAGACCCCAGGGACGUCAAGGAGAGCGAAUACUGUUCUCCUGCCUUUGAUGGAACCAAACAGAGCAAUCGAUGCUUCAUGAUUUUCAUAAACUGGGGGACCAGCAGACACCUGAGCUCCUGGUGGAGGAUUCUAGUAGCUCCAGAUGAAUCCUGAGGCAGCAGGAUCUUUGGCUCUCAAGAACAAUCUAGAACAUGUUCACCUGAAGGUGCAUCUGCUGUGGGAAGGAAGGCUCCCGAGUCCAAUGUGGGUAGAUCCUGAAGAAGACUCCAGAGACAGGGUGUUGAGGAAGGAGAGGUGUCUACAUAAGCUCCCCCAUGAAGCAGAGAGCCCUGAGGUGAUGAAGAGGGAGUGACUAAUGACAGGAGUAUUUCCCAGCCUCACCCUGCCUUCAUCACUGGGAUGCUAAGCCCAGGCUUUAAGGAACAGAUCCACUUAAAGGUCCUUGGGGUUCAGAAAAGUCUAGCUUGGACCGCACUGAAAAGAUAGAAUUGGAAACAGGCAGCCCCUAUUCAAAUUCACUUUGUAUGCAGCAGACUGCCCUAUUUUGGACUGGUGCUCAGAGGAGCACCAGCCGUGGAUGGCUGAUCUUCUAUCCAGUGUGGUAGAAAGAAUGCCCGUUCUCCAGCCUACUCAUAGCUAGAAGCACUUCCACACUCCCCAGGAUUGGAGACACACUCUGGGCCUAACACAGGACCUCUCUGUAUUAUUAGGAUACAUGUCCCUCGAGAUACCUAGUUAUAUUUGAUGCUUGAUUCUCCUGCACAGUGCCCCUGUACUGAGGACCAGCUUCCUGGGGGACAUUCUUGUUUUUCAGACAGUUCAUUUCUACUACAUAAGGUGGUUUUCAGCCCCACCAUUCCCUCAGUUGUUGUCUGAUCAGUGGAGGACAGAACAUACCAGUGCUCGACUAUGAAACAGAUGUCUAGUGACUGGAGGCAUGUGGCUCAUUCCCUCAUGUCUUCUCUUAACCAGGAAUCCGGUUGCCCAUUUGAUUUGGUUUAGCUUGGAUGUAAGUUCUCUCACCACGCUGCAGUUCUCCCUAGGCUAUGUUGCUGGUGGGAUAGCAAUAUUAGCAACACGUACAUCACCGUGACCGAAAUGCUUGUGCUGCCCAAGGUGUCAGAAUUUAAAAUAAAGAUGGGAACAAACCUCUGGCAAUGUCUUGUAAGUGAACUUCUAGAUUAGAUUAAUGUAGAUGAGAAGACCUACUCUAAAUGUAGGCAGUACCAGUCCACGGACUAGAGUCCCGAGCUUGAUAAAGAGAAGGAAACAGGGCUGGACAGAUGGCUCCAUGGUUAAGAGCAUUUGCUGCCACUGCAAGGGGUCAAGGUAUUGUUCAAAUCACCUACAUGGUGGCUCACAACCACCUGUAACUUCCAGAGAAUCUAACACCCUCUUCUGACCUCUA
rnacentral:sRNA from 1 species